CUGAAGGUCUUUUCCUGAGGAACGAACUCAGAUAAAACAAAUAUAAGUUUCAGGCUUUAAGACCAGAAGGGUCAAUUCCUACAAGUUUAUAUUUUUUAGAAAAC